rnacentral:rRNA from 1 species
AACACGCUGGCGGCAGGCCUAACACAUGCAAGUCGAGCGAACCCUUCGGGGUUAGCGGCGGACGGAUUAGUAACGCGUGGGAAUAUACCCUUUGGUACGGAAUAGCCUCGGGAAACUGAGAGUAAUACCGUAUGUGCCCUUCGGGGGAAAGAUUUAUCGCCAAAGGAUUAGCCCGCGUUGGAUUAGAUAGUUGGUGGGGUAAUGGCCUACCAAGUCUACGAUCCAUAGCUGGUUUGAGAGGAUGAUCAGCAACACUGGGACUGAGACACGGCCCAGACUCCUACGGGAGGCAGCAGUGGGGAAUCUUAGACAAUGGGCGCAAGCCUGAUCUAGCCAUGCCGCGUGGACGACGAAGGCCUUAGGGUUGUAAAGUCCUUUCAGAUGGGAAGAUAAUGACGGUACCAUCAGAAGAAGCCCCGGCUAACUCCGUG